rnacentral:misc_RNA from 1 species
GCAUAUCAAAUGAAACCUGGAACAGUCGCUGUAUUUAUUUUUAAUAUAUGAAAAAAGCAAUAUUCAGGAGUUAGUAAGAGUAGAAUUGAUUAUUAGAAAAUGUCGAGAAAGAGUAAUAAAAGAAAUUAUAACGUCGAUGAACAGGAUGUCCAAAAGUUUGUUCUUAAGCCAGAAUCAGAACUGAGAUUUGAAGUGGAUUCCAAAAAUAGAAUAACGAUCGAGUUAACUUCUGGUACAGCAGAAGUUUUUGGAACAGAGCUGGUGAGACAUAGGAAAUACACAUUUGGACCUACAGUUAUGAAAGCCAUAUUUACCUGGCAAGGAUGUACUAUUACACUUACUGGCAGACCAGAAGUUGUGUAUGUUGCCAAGGAAACUCCUAUGGUGUUCUACAUCAAUGUGCACGCAGCAUUAGAACAAAUGCGGCAGGAGGCUGAAUUUAAAGAUUCUAAAGGACCUACAGUUAUGUUAGUAGGGCCAAUUGAUGUAGGAAAAAGUACUCUUUGUCGGCUGCUAUUGAAUUAUGCUGUACGCUUAGGAAAAACUCCUGUUUUUGUAGAUCUCGAUGUUGGACAGGGCCAAAUUUCUAUACCUGGAACAGUAGGAGCUUUAAUAGUUGAACGUCCAGCAGAUGUAGAAGAAGGGUUUUCCCAGCAAACACCACUUGUCUACCACUAUGGACACAAAGGGCCUGGUGACAAUCUUACAUUUUACAACACUGUAGUUACAAGACUAGCUGAUAGCAUCAACUCUAAAAUACAUUUAAAUAAAAAGGUAAAGUCAAGUGGAAUAAUAAUAAAUACGUGUGGCUGGGUAAAGAAUCAAGGAUAUCAAGCAAUAACUCAUGCUGCUUUUGCAUUCGAAGUUGAUGUUAUCUUGGUUGUUGAUGAAGAAAAACUGUGCUUCGAAUUACAUCGUGAUGUGCCAUCCUUUGUACAAAUUAUUGCAGUACCUAAAUCGGGUGGGACAGUAGAAAGAAGUAAAUCAGUGAGAGCCAAAACCAGAGACUCUCGAGUUCAAGAAUACUUUUAUGGUCUUCGUACCCCACUUUUUCCACAUGUGUUUGAUGUAAAGUUUUCAGAUAUCAAAAUAUACAGGGUUGAAAAUUCUCAAAAAAAAAAACUUUCAGUGAAACUCUUUCCAGUUGAGAUAGGGCCAAGUCUAUUACACCAUGUGCUUGCAGUUACUUUUUCAAAUAAUGUAGAAGAACAUCCUAUGUUGUCUAAUGUAGCAGGGUAUAUUUGUGUGACUGGAGUAAAUAUGGAAGAAGAGCUGCUGACUGUCCUUUCUCCUCAACCCCAGCCUCUUCCCAAUAGUUUAUUACUUUUCAGUGAUGUCCAAUUUAUAGACUCAACCUGAAGUGAAAUAAAGAAUUAGUUUCUUGAAAAGCAACCUUUCCAUGGACCAUUUGAUAUCAAACUGCUGAUCUAAACUAUAAGGCACACUACCAAGAUCAACUUGAAUUUAGUGGCUUAACAGGAGCUGCCAUUGUUCUGUCUUGCAAUGAAGAACUUCCCAUUUGAAAAGAUGGAUGUAUUAGCCUAAGAAGAUUUUCUUGUUGGAAGUUCUGGAGAUAUCCCUUGACAUUUUGGCGAUGAAUAUGAUGAUGCCAAGUUAACACUAGUGAAACUUUGACAUGUUUUAACACUUCUUUGAUAUCCCAUUUCUCGCUCUUUUGUACUUUAAUUAUUACUAAGGUUUUUUUGUUUCUGUAAGUGGAUAUUAUAUAUUAAAAAAACUUAUAAAACAUCCUGUAUGAAAUUGAUUCUAAAGAUGUAAACUCUAAAUUGUAUGCUUAAAACAGUAACUUAUAUAAUACAGAAUAAUGAACUAAAGAAAACUUUCCCAUUGAUGUAUACUUUAUUUGAAAAUGAUAAUGACACUAGAAUAAAAUCUUAUUAUUUUGAAGACUGAGGUUGGAUGGAACAAAAAGGAUCACAGUUGGAGUAUACAAAAUGUAGCAUUAUAUAUAAUGUAAGAGAGUAAAGAAUUGUGUUAUAGUACAAAUUUUAUCUGGAAGACAAUGAGUCACAGGGUAAAAUAUUUAUAUACAUGGUUUGUAAACUGUUUUAUAUAUCUCAUUUUUAUAAACUAAAGUAUGGUUAGUGUUAGGCACAAGACAAAUGAUUCAUAAAGAAAAAUAUUAAUAGGGAACUUGAACUCCUGACUGUAUCUGUGUAUUUGAUAACUCUCUGCUACAGAGUUUUGAAAGUAGCAUAAAAUUUAUGUUAUGUUCAUUGCUGAUGUAGUUUUGUUAGAAUUUCACAUGGAUGUUUAUAGAUGACAUUGUAAAUUUUGCAUUAACUUGACUGUCAGAUGACUAUGAUUUUAAAUAAAUCUUUGCUAGUAUUUAUUAUAUAAUCAUGUAUUUCAUGUAAUACACAAAAUAAAACAAGUUAUUUGUUUAGUAUUGUGCACUGAAAUAAAAUCACAUUUUCCAAUAAAAUAUUUCAGUGAAACAACCAUUUUAUUAUUAGUAUCUGUAAACUGAAAAUAGUGUUCCAUUAGCACUUUUACAAUGUUGUAUUACCAAUUUUAAUAAAACUUAAACAAUUUUGAUAAAUACACGUGAGCAUUUGCUGUGUUUGGCAAUACUUAAUAAAAUUCAGUGGAUUGUUGCUUAGCAUACUGUGUACAUGUUGAAAUGAAGAAUAUUUAUCUUUAAAUUCUAUAAAUUAAAUAGUUGCAUUUCUUUCAAAAAUAAAAUGUAAUCUUUUGAAGUAGCUUUAUGUGUAAAAUUUGUGACAAACCGGUGUACAGAAUCUUGGUUUUGUUUUCUAUGGGACGUCUUAACAUUGGCACUAACCAAGUUAUGUAAAUUACUUAUGCAACAGUGAAGAUGCUUCCCUGAGUGACUGAAAUGUUGUACUCUGUAUAUGAAGCAUUCUCUGGUCUCCUCAAUAGUAAUAUUUACUGCUCAUCUUUAAACCAUUUGAACUUGAUUGAUAAACAAGUAUUUUAAGGUAAUUUUAUCUUUUACCAAUGUGGUUUUUGCAGGCUUUAAAAUUUUUUCUACAACAGAAGCAAGGCUAACUGGCAUUAUAA